CCACCAAAAAAACGAAGAAGAAAAAUCAAACAUCACAAUUGUGAUGUACUGUAUAUUUGUGUUAGGGACUGUUGACCGUGGAAUUGUUACACUGGAGAAAUGACAUUCUGCUUUAACUCCCCUGCCUCAGCCUCAAGCGAAGGAAACGCUAGGCAAGAUUCUCCGUCGGUGAGGGGGAAUGAGGUGGUGAAACUGUCUCAGUCCGGGGGCAGCCCAUUCACCAUAGCAAUGAGUAGGAAGAUGACCUCUGAAAAACCGGCAGAGUGUCAUAGGGCUGUCACUAAAUUUAUAGUGAAAUAUUUAUUGCCCUUCACUACGGUGGAGUCAAGCUGGUUCAGGAACAGAUCCAGAGAAAGGCACCUGCAUUAAGGCAAACAGAGUCAGUCCAGUGCAGUGAGGACAAUUCUUACAACCCAACAGAAGGUCGUCCUCAAGCUCCAAUAGAACAUGAACACAGCUACUGCUUUGGUAGUCCAAAGACCCUCAUCGCAAAGCUGCUUAAAACAAUCCCAAAAAUCAAAGACUUAAAAAAGAAAUCUAGACACUACCAGCAAAAGAACAUGAGAAACAGACAAAAAAAUUUAAACCUUCAGAGUAUCAUUCAGUCCCUCAAGGCAUCCCAUUUCUUAACGGAGUCCAGUGG
ensembl:lncRNA